GACAGAGGCCCCAAGCGUUAGGCGGAAUCACUGGGCUUAAAGCGUGUGUAGGCGGACUUCUAGGUGCCUUGUGAAAUCCCACGGCUCAACCGUGGAACUGCUGGGCAUACUGGGAGUCUUGGGCCAUUCAGGGGCAACUGGAACAAGCGGUGGAGCGGUGAAAUGCGUAGAUAUCGCUUGGAACGCCGAAGGUGAAAACAGGUUGCUGGGGAUGUGCCGACGCUGAGACACGAAAGCCAGGGGAGCAAACGGG
rnacentral:rRNA from 1 species